GACGAACGCUGGCGGCGUGCUUAACACAUGCAAGUCGAACGGAAAGGCCCUGCUUUUGUGGGGUGCUCGAGUGGCGAACGGGUGAGUAACACGUGAGUAACCUGCCCUUGACUUUGGGAUAACUUCAGGAAACUGGGGCUAAUACCGGAUAGGAGCUCCUGCUGCAUGGUGGGGGUUGGAAAGUUUCGGCGGUUGGGGAUGGACUCGCGGCUUAUCAGCUUGUUGGCGGGGUAGUGGCUUACCAAGGCUUUGACGGGUAGCCGGCCUGAGAGGGUGACCGGCCACAUUGGGACUGAGAUACGGCCCAGACUCCUACGGGAGGCAGCAGUGGGGAAUAUUGCACAAUGGGCGGAAGCCUGAUGCAGCAACGCCGCGUGCGGGAUGACGGCCUUCGGGUUGUAAACCGCUUUCGCCUGUGACGAAGCGUGAGUGACGGUAAUGGGCAAAGAAGCACCGGCUAACUACGUG
rnacentral:rRNA from 1 species